GAUGAACGCUGGCGGCGUGCCUAAUACAUGCAAGUAGAACGCUGAAGGAGGAGCUUGCUCUUCUGGAUGAGUUGCGAACGGGUGAGUAACGCGUAGGUAACCUGCCUGGUAGCGGGGGAUAACUAUUGGAAACGAUAGCUAAUACCGCAUGACAACAGUUAUUGCAUGAUAACUGUUUAAAAGGGGCAACUGCUCCACUACCAGAUGGACCUGCGUUGUAUUAGCUAGUUGGUGAGGUAACGGCUCACCAAGGCGACGAUACAUAGCCGACCUGUGAGGGUGAUCGGCCACACUGGGACUGAGACACGGCCCAGACUCCUACGGGAGGCAGCAGUAGGGAAUCUUCGGCAAUGGACGGAAGUCUGACCGAGCAACGCCGCGUGAGUGAAGAAGGUUUUCGGAUCGUAAAGCUCUGUUGUAAGAGAAGAACGAGUGUGAGAGUGGAAAGUUCACACUGUGACGGUAUCUUACCAGAAAGGGACGGCUAACUACGUG
rnacentral:rRNA from 1 species